AUGCUUCGGAGCCCAGCCGCCGCUCUGCUCCGCCGCCUGGCCCCUCGCCUCACCGGCUGCAGUGGGGGAGCCGGCCCAUCCACGCGUCGGACCCUCCCUCCUUACAUAUCCUCCUCCUCCUCCUUCCUCGCGCGCUUCUCGUCCACGCCGACGUCCCCGCCGCUACCGUCCUCCGUCGGUGCCCACGACGAUGAGGCGGAGGAUGACAAGCUCCAGGGAUCAUCAAGCGAUUCCGGCGCCAGGCUCAGCAUUUCUGUGGACCGCGCCGGUCUAUACAGCCCCCCAGAGCACUCUCACGAGCCGUCGUCGGACUCUAACCUUGUCAAGCACCUUAAGAGCAUCAUAAAGUUCCGGAGUGGGCCGAUCAGCAUAGCUGAGUACAUGGAGGAGGUGCUUACAAACCCACAGUCUGGGUACUACAUGAAUCGCGAUGUGUUUGGGGAGUCUGGGGAUUUCAUCACCUCACCAGAGGUCAGCCAGAUGUUUGGAGAGCUGAUUGGUGUGUGGGCGAUGUGUCUGUGGGAGCAAAUGGGGCAACCAGAGAAGGUGAAUUUGAUUGAGCUUGGCCCAGGACGAGGAACUCUCUUGGCAGAUUUACUUCGUGGCUCAGCAAAGUUUGUUAAUUUCACUAAGGCGCUCAACAUUAACUUGGUAGAAUGUAGCCCUACAUUGCAAAAGGUGCAGUACAAUACUCUGAAAUGUGAAGAUGAAUCUGUUGGUGAUGAAAAAAGGACAGUUAGCAAGCUUUGUGGAGCCCCUGUUUAUUGGCACGCCUCCCUCGAACAGGUUCCUUCAGGAUUCCCCACCAUAAUUGUUGCUCAUGAAUUCUUUGAUGCUUUACCAAUCCAUCAAUUUCAGAAAGGGUCACGCGGCUGGUGUGAAAAGAUGGUGGAUCUCGCAGGAGACUCAUCCAGGUUUCGCUUUGUUCUGUCUCCGCAGCCUACAGCCUCUUUGAUUUUCCUCUCCAAACGUUGUGAAUGGGCUAGUCCUGAGGAGCUCGAGAAGGUUGAGCAGAUUGAAGUCUGCCCAAAAGCAAUGGAGAUUAGCGAACAGAUCGCAGACCGAAUUAGCUCAGAUGGCGGAGGUGCUCUGAUCAUUGACUAUGGCAAAAAUGGAAUAGUGUCUGAUAGUCUUCAGGCAAUCCGCAAACACAAAUUCGUUCACAUAUUAGACGACCCUGGGUCUGCUGAUCUCAGUGCCUAUGUUGAUUUUGCUGCGAUCAAGCACUCUGCCAAGGAAGCUUCAGAUGAUAUUUCCGUCCAUGGGCCAAUGACUCAAUCCCAGCUGCUGGGUUCUCUUGGUAUCAACUUCCGGGUGGAAGCCCUUAUGCAAAACUGUGACGAGAAGCAGGCGGAGUCUCUGAGGACAGGCUACUGGCGUCUAGUCGGAGACGGAGAAGCCCCAUUCUGGGAAGGGCCUGAUGACCAAACGCCCAUCGGCAUGGGCAGCAGGUACCUGGCCAUGGCCAUUGUCAACAAGAAGCAAGGCUCGCCUGUUCCAUUCGAGUGA
rnacentral:rRNA from 1 species